rnacentral:lncRNA from 1 species
AUGCUCUGCUUUUGGUGUGAGUUCAUAGGGUCGCCUCUAAAAUACCGGGAGCACACGGUCCUGGCCACCUUGGGCCCCUGCCCGCGGGGUGGACAUGGGCUGGUCCUUCACCACGACCUCUGGGGGUUCGAGGAUCCAGGCCGGCCGCCCGUUCCCAGGAGCUGCGACUGGUGCUUCUCUGGGCAUCUGAGUGCUGGGCUCCCCAGCUCCCUGCUCCCGCCUGUGUGGCUCAGUGUGGCGGCUUCCAGCUUUGUGCGUCUGGCCUCAAGAGGAAGCCGUUUCCGUCCUGGCGCUUCUUGCUGUGACGUCCUGGAGAGGGGCGUGGGAACGCCGACCUGGCCCCCGGGCAGGUGGAACGAGUGGAUUUGCUGUCAGACUCCGGCUCGAGGUUGUUGGCCGGGCCGCCCACGGGGGUUGUUGGAGGUGCCGCGCGUAGUAGCUGUUGUCUCGGGAGGCUGCCGUCCGUGUGGCCAGACGUCACGUUCCUGGCCGAGCGAGGAAGAAGCGGGGCCUCCCCUCUCCGUGCCCCGUGAGUGUGAAAGGUGGCAGGUGGUGGCUGGGCCAGUGUGGGCUGAGGUGCUGGGGUGCUGGGGUGCGGGGCC